rnacentral:rRNA from 1 species
CCUACGGGUGGCAGCAGUGAGGAAUAUUGGUCAAUGGGCGUAAGCCUGAACCAGCCAAGUCGCGUGAGGGAUGAAUGCCCUACGGAUCGUAAACUUCUUUUAUAAGGGAAUAAAGUGUGGCACGUGUGCUUUUUUGUAUGUACUUUAUGAAUAAGGAUCGGCUAACUCCGUGCCAGCAGCCGCGGUAAUACGGAGGAUCCGAGCGUUAUCCGGAUUUAUUGGGUUUAAAGGGAGCGUAGAUGGGUUGUUAAGUCAGUGGUGAAAGUUUGCGGCUCAACCGUAAAAUUGCAAUUGAUACUGGCAGCCUGGAGUACAGUUGAGGUAGGCGGAAUGCGUGGUGUAGCGGUGAAAUGCUUAGAUAUCACGAAGAACCCCGAUUGCGAAGGCAGCUUACUAAACUGCGACUGACAUUGAUGCUCGAAAGUGUGGGUAUCAAACAGGAUUAGAUACCCCGGUAGUC